CAGCAGCCGCGGGAAUACGGAGGAUCCGAGCGUUAUCCGGAAUUAUUGGGUUUAAAGGGUGCGUAGGCGGAUAGAUAAGUCAGUGGUGAAAGACGGUGGCUCAACCAUCGCAGUGCCGUUGAUACUGUUUAUCUUGAAUAUGGAUGAGGUAGGCGGAAUGUGGCAAGUAGCGGUGAAAUGCAUAGAUAUGCCACAGAACACCGAUUGCGAAGGCAGCUUACCAAGGCAAAAUUGACGCUGAGGCACGAAAGCGUGGGGAUCGAACAGGAUUAGAUACCCCAGUAGUCCCUGUCUCUUAUAC
rnacentral:rRNA from 1 species